GACGAACGCUGGCGGCGUGCUUAACACAUGCAAGUCGAGCGGUAAGGCCCUUUCGGGGGUACGACGAGCGGCGAACGGGUGAGUAACACGUGGGUGACCUGCCCUCAGCUCUGGGAUAAGCCUGGGAAACUGGGUCUAAUACUGGAUAUGACUCCACGGUGCAUGUCGUGGGGUGGAAAGCCUUGUGCGGCUGAGGAUGGGCCCGCGGCCUAUCAGCUUGUUGGUGGGGUGA
rnacentral:rRNA from 1 species